UACGUAGGGGGCAAGCGUUGUCCGGAUUUAUUGGGCGUAAAGAGCGUGUAGGCGGCCGUACAGGUCAGCUGUGAAAACUCGAGGCUCAACCUCGAGACGUCGGUUGAAACCGUACGGCUAGAGUCCGGAAGAGGAGAGUGGAAUUCCCGGUGUAGCGGUGAAAUGCGCAGAUAUCGGGAAGAACACCCGUGGUGAAGGCGGCUCUCUGGAACGCAACUGACGCUGAGACGCGAAAGCGUGGGGAGCAAACAGG
rnacentral:rRNA from 1 species